UACGGGGGGGGCAAGCGUUUGUUCGGAAUUACUGGGCGUAAAGGGCUCGUAGGCGGCCAACUAAGUCAGACGUGAAAUCCCCAGGCUCAACCUGGGAACUGCGUCUGAUACUGGAUGGCUUGAAUUCGGGAGAGGGAUGCAGAAUUCCAGGUGUAGCGGUGAAAUGACGUAGAUAUCUGGAGGAAUACCGGUGGCGAAGGCGGCAUCCUGGACCGACAUUGACGCUGAGGAGCGAAAGCUAGGGAGCAAACGGG
rnacentral:rRNA from 1 species